rnacentral:ncRNA from 1 species
GUGACAGGUGGUGCAUGGUUGUCGUCAGCUCGUGUCGUGAGAUGUUGGGUUAAGUCCCGCAACGAGCGCAACCCUUAUCGUUAGUUGCCAGCAUUCAGUUGGGCACUCUAAGGAGACUGCCGGUGAUAAACCGGAGGAAGGUGGGGAUGACGUCAAAUCAUCAUGCCCCUUAUGACUUGGGCUACACACGUGCUACAAUGGACAGAACAAAGGGCAGCGAAACCGCGAGGUUAAGCCAAUCCCACAAAUCUGUUCUCAGUUCGGAUCGCAGUCUGCAACUCGACUGCGUGAAGCUGGAAUCGCUAGUAAUCGCGGAUCAGCAUGCCGCGGUGAAUACGUUCCCGGGCCUUGUACACACCGCCCGUCACACCACGAGAGUUUGUAACACCCGAAGUCGGUGAGGUAACCUUUUAGGAGCCAGCCGCCGAAGGUGGGACAGAUGAUUGGGGUGAAGUCAUAACAAGGUAGCCGUAAAGGGC